rnacentral:lncRNA from 1 species
AUUGGGAGUUAGGUUUCAGCAUAGGAGUUUUUAGGGCAUGGAGAGGCACAAACAUCCAGACAAGCAUUUACCUUCUGCUGAAAUUGUCUCAGUGUUUGCCUCUCCUAAUGGAAUAUGGGCCACAUGUACAGCAAGGGCUCAGCAAAUGCUUGCUGAACAAACAAGUUUGAGGCAGGUUUCUAACUCAGGUAGAUCGUUUCAUCCUCUUCAUCUCCCAGCAACCAAGAAAACCAGCCUAUUGCCAUGGGGGGGUCCUCCAACCCUGGCUAUUCUCCAAUGCUAAAGACUGACAGAUAAUCUCAAUUAGCAAAUUGACCCUUGUGGAUUUUCUGCACUCAUAGCAAAUGUCUUCAGGAAAACUGAAUUUCUCUCCAUACCUGGAUUAAUUUUCAGUAAUGGAAUGACUGGGUCAAAGGAGAUCAACAUUGCUGUGGCUCUUUCAGGUUCUCUUAAAUUCCAUGGAUUUUAACUUUGGCCCAUGACCUCCUUGACCUCUGGAAAUGUGACAUCCUGCACCUGCUGCAUCAGGGCUCUUCCCUGGUCUUGCCUACACUUGUGUCUACACAGCUUGAUAAACCAGAGGGAUAGUCUGAGAGAGAAACUGAAGGUCAAAAUCAACGCAGUGGUGCCGAACAGAAGGGCCCGAGGUGCGAUGAGUAUAAUAUGAACACGAAGGAAAACAGCGAGUUCAGAAGCCUGGAGAAUCAGAAGCAGGUCAAGCGCUGGGGUUCAGGGCAAAGACCCUGAACACUGUGAAGGUGUUGGAGACCUGUUUUGAGGUGGCACUGCGGCUCAAUGUGAGUGCAGACCUGAGAGAUUAAAGUGCCUACGAAGGGCCAAAUACCUGUCCCUUCAUGACA